rnacentral:rRNA from 1 species
GACGAACGCUGGCGGCGUGCUUAACACAUGCAAGUCGAACGCUGAAGCACCAGCUUGCUGGUGUGGAUGAGUGGCGAACGGGUGAGUAAUACGUGAGUAACCUGCCCUUGACUCUGGGAUAAGCCCGGGAAACUGGGUCUAAUACUGGAUGCUACAUGUCACCGCAUGGUGGUGUGUGGAAAGGGUUUACUGGUCUUGGAUGGGCUCACGGCCUAUCAGCUUGUUGGUGAGGUAAUGGCUCACCAAGGCGACGACGGGUAGCCGGCCUGAGAGGGUGACCGGCCACACUGGGACUGAGACACGGCCCAGACGCCUACGGGAGGCAGCAGUGGGGAAUAUUGCACAAUGGGCGAAAGCCUGAUGCAGCGACGCCGCGUGAGGGAUGACGGCCUUCGGGUUGUAAACCUCUUUCAGCAGGGAAGAAGCCACAAGUGACAGUACCUGCAGAAGAAGCGCCGGCUAACUACGUG